UCACAGCCAUGGGUUAGCAGAAA
rnacentral:tRNA from 11 species